GCUUAGCUGAGAUCAAAAGAAACUGCCCAGCUGACCUGCAGACUCAUGAGCAGAAUAAAUGGUUGUUAUUUUAAGCUACUAGAUUCUCCUUGAACUCUAAGCCUGGAGGCUUUAGUGAUUCAGGCAGGAGAGGUUAGGUUCCUGACUUCUUUAGCAAGAGAUAGGUUUGAGCAUUAGGCAUUGUUGAGAAGGGAGAUUUUUCUAAAUUUCUUUAGUUGUUUUUUUUUCAUAGCAAAAGCCAGUUUCCCUAGACUUUCUCUUAUUUAGUAAAAAAAGAAAUACUUAUCCCCAUCUAGGCUUAGCCUCAAAGCUGGAAUUGAGAAGGAGAAUAUGACACAGAGAAAGCCUGUCCCUUCUGGUGAGAUGUUUGAGGGGAUAAGAGGAGUCAGACAGAGUGAGAGACUGAGGAAGAAAAAGAAGCCCUUUGGACAUGUAGGUCCUGGAUAUUCUGUCUCAUGAAGAUGAGGAACAGCAUUAGAGGACGCUGUGCAGAUCUGAGUGGUAGUAGCCGGGGAUUCAGGUCUUCUUCUAUCUCUCCAUUGAUGGCUCUGGAGUCUGUAAUGCUCCUCUGGUUGUCUUCACUGAUGGAUGGAUCUUCACACCAAGAUUUGGGCGAUUUAUACAAUGUGAUGGGAACACAGUAUAAUCUUUAUAGUGCUUCUCUUCUAAGAGCUUCUAAAAAACCCCACUUCCUGCUGCACAGCAGCUGGCCAUUUUGAUGAAGACUUCAUCCUGUGAUGCUACUACCUGGAUCAUCUAAGUCUCACUCUGUUGCCCAGCCUGGAUUGCAGUGACAUGAUCACAGCUCACUACAACCUCAACCUCCCUGGGAUCAAGCUAUCCUCCCAUCUUAGCUUCCCAAGUCAUUGGGACUACAGGGAAUGUGCCGCUGUGCCCAGCCAAACUGGAUCUUCAGUAUGUUUAUGUAACUUUCCGGGAGCAGAGGUAGGGUGUUACAGAAAGGGCAUCUACUUUAGUACAAGCAGAGAGGCAAUACUUGUUUAAGAAAUAGGAGAAACAAAAUCUUAAUAAACAUGGAUGCUUUUGUUGAGAAGAAAUAAAAAACAAAGUUUUCCAGCUGAGGCUUGAUUAGAGAGAGAAAGAAAGCUUUCACAAAGCCAGGAAGGGAAGUCUGGAAUUGAGGCAAAAGGCCAUUGGCAAAUCUCAGUGAAGGUUUAUUGAACACUUUCUAUGUGUUCCCAGGAUUCUGAGGAAACAGAGAUGAGUUGGAUACGGCCCUGCCCUGAAGGAGUUUGCAGGUUAUAGCCAAUGAUAAGUGGGAAAGUGGACUCUUAAAAAGACUAGUUUGACAAGAUUAUAUAGAAGAGAUGGAAAGUUAAGAAACCCUAAGCACAAAAGUUGAGGCAGAAUCCAAACUGAAGGCAAAGUAUGUCUAGCAGGUCAUUUUAGGGACAUUGAUUUGUUUGGCUUCUUCUUCCCCAGUGUUUUCAGCUUUGGAGCUUCAAUCGAACUUUUGAGACAAGAAGAGGAAAGACAAGAAAAGUGUCUUCUUCACAAUUUUAUUAUUUUGGUGUCAAAGAUUCCAGUUGAUUAUCCCUUUCUAUCUCCAAAGUCUGGCAAACCCUACUUACCUCCCCAACUGCUUUCGAAAGCAUAAACAAAAUAAAAUAACAUCAUCAAAGAUUCCAGAAGAUUGGGAAAGGUGUGGAAGGUAGUGAUUAAAGUAUAGUUGUAAGGGCCCUUUGACAUCAAUUUUAUUCUCUCAGGGGGCUUAAAGUGUUUCUUUUCUGCUUCCUUUACUACAAAGAUAUUUCACUCAAACUCUAUCUUGUUAUAGACUCUUGAAAACUGGGGAUAUGGUUUCUAGCCUUGUAAUUUGUGUAAUAAAAUGUCAGUCAUAAAAACCACUGGGAAUCUGGGACAUUUGUAAUGAUUGGGCUGUCGUUAAAAUACAUGAUUGCUCAAAGGUAUGGCUUAACCCAGGAAAACACAAACCACAAUAAAAGGUCACAUGGAAGAUACAGGCAUGGGCAGGCAUCACUUGGUGGCAAGCAACAGAAAUCCCUUAAGAAAGCGCGAGUGAAAAGCAAUUUAUUUCAGGGGACUCUGAUGGUAUUUUGAAGAAGGUAUAACUCCUGGAACUGGAAAGCUUUGAGAUACUUAUCUCUCUCUCUCUCUCUGUCUCUGCCUCUCUCUUUCUCUCUGCCUCUCUCUG
rnacentral:lncRNA from 10 species